AACGCGAAGAACCUUACCCAGGUUUGACAUCCUUGGAAUUUCUCCGAAAGGAGAGAGUGCCCUUGGGAGCCAAGUGACAGGUGUUGCAUGGCCGUCGUCAGCUCGUGUCGUGAGAUGUUUGGUUAAGUCCAUCAACGAGCGCAACCCUUAUGACUAGUUGGAUUUUUCUAGUCAGACUGCCCUGGUAACAGGGAGGAAGGAGGGGAUGAUGUCAGGUCAGUAUUACCCUUACAUCUGGGGCUACAAACACGCUACAAUGGCCAGUACAAAGGGCUGCCAAGUCGCAAGACGGAGCAAAUCCCAUCAAAGCUGGUCUCAGUUCGGAUUGCAGGCUGAAACUCGCCUGCAUGAAGCUGGAAUCGCUAGUAACGGUGAGUCAGCACAUCACCGUGAAUACGUUCCCGGGCCUUGUACACACCGCUACAGU
rnacentral:rRNA from 1 species